CUGACAUCAUCAAGCUCUGGUGCGCUAGGCUUUGAGUCCGAGAGUUUGCUUGUGUUGCUCUUUUUUGUUGUUUUGGAUGCUCCUUCGUUUUUGGUCCCAUCACCUGUAGUUGUCGGCUAGUCCUGUAUUAGACAAGUACUCUUAUUCUUUUACUAGCGCUCUCUAUUUGAUCGUAUUCUGCUAUAUUGGUUUCAGUUUAUGGAAUUUGAACCGCUUUUCCAGUUUCUUUUACCAGCACUCUCCAUUUUACAUACUAUUAGAUAAUUUAUUUCAUGUUUCCAAUGAAGCAAUUUGAACGGCUUUUCCAGUUUUCUCUCAGAAUAGAGGACUUAAUGUACACAAUUACACCAGAAGAGGUAAACCUGAAGCAGAUGCCUUAUAAAUCUCACUGGUUCUAGAAUUUAAUUAUUUUUCGUUUUUUCUUGAUCAUCUUCUUCGUAUUCUCCACCACCCCCAGUUUUUAAGUCUUCUCCUACUUAGUAGCAUAUUCAUGACAUUUCUCACUCUAUCUUUCAUCAUUUCUUGUAGGGAUAGUGAUUGUAAUUUUCCAUCUAAACUGUGUAUUUAUCAUUUGUGUAUGAGUCAUGAAUGAUGCAUACAAGCUUCAGUUUCUAAUUGAUGCCAUGUCAACUUCAGCAUCUAAGUCUUUUAGUCUCCAGAGCGUUUUGUACUAUAUAUAGACUGAGAUUAAACAUGAGAUAGUGCAAGAUUUCAGAUACCAUUCCAGCUUGGAUUGUCAAAAAUGGAUUUACGCAAAGUUGUGAAAUCAAGUCUAUCUGGGGUUGACAAAUCCAUCGGAGCAAUGUAUAAACGAUUACAGAAGAAUUUGACCUCAGAGGAGCUGUUGCCUUCACUAUGAGACAAGUGCAAGGUGGGCAUUGUCAGGGAUUCUAGAGAGGACGAAUAUAGAAGCCGAGGAUAGAAAUAUAGCCCCAGCAAAGCACGCGAGAUCCAUGCCACUGCUCACUCCUAUGCUCCUGAAUUUAUCCAGCACUUGCA